AUUGAACGCUGGCGGCAGGCCUAACACAUGCAAGUCGAGCGGAUGAAGGGAGCUUGCUCCUGGAUUCAGCGGCGGACGGGUGAGUAAUGCCUAGGAAUCUGCCUGGUAGUGGGGGAUAACGUCCGGAAACGGGCGCUAAUACCGCAUACGUCCUGAGGGAGAAAGUGGGGGAUCUUCGGACCUCACGCUAUCAGAUGAGCCUAGGUCGGAUUAGCUAGUUGGUGGGGUAAAGGCCUACCAAGGCGACGAUCCGUAACUGGUCUGAGAGGAUGAUCAGUCACACUGGAACUGAGGCACGGUCCAGACUCCUACGGGAGGCAGCAGUGGGGAAUAUUGGACAAUGGGCGAAAGCCUGAUCCAGCCAUGCCGCGUGUGUGAAGAAGGUCUUCGGAUUGUAAAGCACUUUAAGUUGGGAGGAAGGGUAGUAAGUUAAUACCUUGCUGUUUUGACGUUACCAACAGAAUAAGCACCGGCUAACUUCGUG
rnacentral:rRNA from 1 species